GCUUAAUAAAAGCCCCCCGCUUACACCGAGGAAAUGUGCUGUUAAAUCCGGAUCAUCUUGAG
rnacentral:tRNA from 1 species